AUGCGCAGCUCUGUGGGUCUGGGUGCAGAACAUAAACAAUGUUUGCCUUCGCAGGUGGGAGAGGACUCGCGGCACGCAGGGCCACCCGUCCUCCCCAGGCCGUCCAGUACAUUCAGCACUGUGAGCAGGCCGCAGUACCAGGACAUGGUGCCAGUGGCUUACAAUGACAAGAUUGUUGCAUUUCUGCGUCAACCCAAUAUCUUUGAAAUUCUGCAGGAGCGUCAGCCUGAUCUCACCAGAAAUCACUCACUCAGGGAGAAGAUCCAAUUUAUCAGAACGGAAGGGACGCCAGGAUUGGUGCGCCUCUCGAGUGAUGCAGACCUCGUGAUGCUGCUGAGCUUGUUUGAAGAGGAGAUAAUGUCAUAUGUGCCUCCACACGCCUUACUGCACCCCAGCUACUGUCAGUCCCCACGCGGCUCUCCUGUGUCCUCACCCCAGAACUCACCAGGUACUCAGCGAGCCAACGCCCGGGCUCCGGCCCCUUACAAGCGAGACUUUGAAGCCAAACUAAGGAACUUCUACAGGAAGUUAGAGACUAAAGGAUACGGACAAGGCCCAGGGAAAUUAAAAUUAAUUAUCCGAAGAGAUCACUUGCUGGAAGAUGCUUUUAAUCAGAUCAUGGGCUACUCCAGAAAAGACCUGCAGAGGAAUAAGCUGUAUGUCACCUUCGUUGGGGAGGAAGGGUGAGUAGAACAGACAAGUGGCAGGGACGAAGGCUGCGGCCAUGGGCGGAUGUUUCUCCACAGCGCUGCGGUUGCCUGAAACAGGAAACCCUUCUGGCAGGAAGUGCUGUUCUCAUAAGCUUGAACAUGUUGGCUUUU
rnacentral:lncRNA from 1 species